rnacentral:rRNA from 1 species
AUGAGUUGGGUGAUGCUCCCAGAAGGAAGAGUGAAAGCGCGCAUGAGGAGAAGGAAAGAUGGACAUAUCUUAACUCAGAAAGAGCGGUGUUUGUAUUGUUUUGAGAACCCAUCCUGGCCAAAGCAUCUGGUUGUGGCACUAGGGAACUUGACUUACCUGAUGCUUCCACAGUUUGAGCCUAUUGUUCCUGGUCACUGCGUUAUUCUUCCGUUGCAGCAUGAGUCUGUAACAAGAGCAGUUGAUAUCAGUGUUUGGGAGGAGAUUCACAACUUGAAAAGGUGUAGCCUGAAGAUGUUUGCGCUGCAGGGCCAGAAUGUGAUUUUCAUGGAGACUGCAUGUGCUUGGCCAAGCAAAGCUUGCACCAGCACUUGUGUAGAAACUAAAAGUAGAUGGCAUUUUUGUGAAAGAACCCUAGGAUAUUGUAGGAUUUUCAAAAUGGCCCAGUUGUACUUGACUAUAAAAUGGUUAUCGUUCAGAAUACCCACACCGUGUUGCUGCUACUCCACUUGGUAA